GACGAACGCUGGCGGCGUGCUUAACACAUGCAAGUCGAACGGAAAGGCCCUGCUUUUGUGGGGUGCUCGAGUGGCGAACGGGUGAGUAACACGUGAGUAACCUGCCCUUGACUUUGGGAUAACUUCAGGAAACUGGGGCUAAUACCGGAUAGGAGCUCCUGCUGCAUGGUGGGGGUUGGAAAGUUUCGGCGGUUGGGGAUGGACUCGCGGCUUAUCAGCUUGUUGGUGGGGUAGUGGCUUACCAAGGCUUUGACGGGUAGCCGGCCUGAGAGGGUGACCGGGCACACAGGGGGAGUGAGACAGGCCAGAGACCCACACGGGGGAGAGGAGGGGGAAAUAGUGCACAGGGGGGAGAAGUGUUAUAGAAAAGCCGCGUGCGGGAUAUGGGGCUUUGGGGGGUGAACCCCUUUCGCGCGUGAGGAGAAGUGAGUGAGGGGGAAAGGUAUAGAGACGCACGGGAAAAAUACG
rnacentral:rRNA from 1 species